ACGCAUCUCGAUUUUGUGACCGCUACAAGAGAGACACGCGGAAGGCAUGAUUUCGUUAGCAGCUUACUACGUGCCAUGUUAUAUGCAGCUUCACUUCACAAAGGUUGCUUUCAUGAUAUUUGCCAUGGCGUUUCCGAUAGCAGCCAACAGGCUGGACACAAAGCUUAAUCCAAAAGGUUGUGGUGUUUCUGAGCCGAUGGGGAGAAUAUACAAUGGCAAGCCGAUCGGCAGGGAGAACGUUCCCUGGAUGGU